GGUGCGCUGCGAGAGGGAGGACUGCCCGGAGAGGAAUCCCCGCCCACUCCGACCGUUUGGAGCCUGGUUGAGGAUGGUAGCACUCCCGUGUGGGCGGCGCCCUGAUGACGGGGAUGUCGCUUGGGAGGGGGAAUGUGACGAGUCACCGGCACCCCGUCCUAAAUCGCCGCCCUUCACCAGGCUCCCGACUGGAGUGGGUGUGUGAGAGGAGGGGCGCUGGACGAGUCAGGGCUGGCGGCGUGUGAUGGGGCACACCUGAAGGAAAUGGAGCCUCAUCACCGCCUCUGUUUAAAAGCCCAACGCGCCUCUCCUUGGGAGACCAGCCUCUUCCCCGUGCAUGCACAAUGGUGUCCUCGUGGGUCCAGGAAGGGUGCGUUGAGGGACUCCCGCGCCACCAGAGACGUGAGCUGCCGGACCCGUGAUCCGGGUUGGGAACCGCACCCGUUUACACGGCCGUCGGGCCAGGAUGCCGGGCCGUCCAUCCCCUGGGAGCGCGUGCGGCCGCCGGACUCCACCCCUUACCUGGAACCUUCCUCCAUGAACACUGCCCGACCCACACAAACCCCGCAGCACGACGAGGACACCAGA